rnacentral:rRNA from 1 species
CCUACGGGUGGCAGCAGUGAGGAAUAUUGGUCAAUGGGCGGGAGCCUGAACCAGCCAAGUCGCGUGAGGGAUGACGGCCCUAUGGGUUGUAAACCUCUUUUGUCGGGGAAUAAAGUGCGGCACGUGUCCGGUUUGGUGAGUACCCGGUGAAUAAGGAUCGGCUAACUCCGUGCCAGCAGCCGCGGUAAUACGGAGGAUGCGAGCGUUAUCCGGAUUUAUUGGGUUUAAAGGGUGCGUAGGCGGACGUUUAAGUCAGCGGUAAAAUUGUGGGGCUCAACCUAGUCGAGCCGUUGAAACUGGGUGCCUUGAGUGGGCUAGAGGUACGCGGAAUGCGUGGUGUAGCGGUGAAAUGCAUAGAUAUCACGCAGAACUCCGAUUGCGAAGGCAGCGUACCGGGGCCCAACUGACGCUGAUGCACGAAGGCGUGGGUAUCGAACAGGAUUAGAUACCCCAGUAGUC